ACAAUGUGUUCUUACAUUUAGGUCUUCGACUGUACUGAAAUGCCUUGUGACUUAGUGAGAGAUGUCAGAACAGAUUAGCCAGUGUGGCUACUGUCUUGAGUGCCACCAAUAGCAUCUCCACAUUCUUCUGCAUUGCCAAUUUGUCCAGCUGUCUUUGUCUCUCUCUGCCUAGGAUGACACUGUUCAUUGGGUCACUCACUGCUUGAGGCACCCCAUUCUCACAGGCAUUAGCUUCUUCUUAUUUAUUUUCUCAUAAACUUGGCCCAGGAGGAACCAGAAAGCCCCUGGAAGUUGCUGAUAUGUCUGCAGUUGCUGACAUUUCUCAAUGUCUCCAAAAGCACAGGCCAAAAACAACCCAGGGCCUGGCUGGGAGCUAGCUGGUAAGUAAAUAUUUGCUAAGUAAAAGAGUAACUUCCCACAAACAUCAGCUGCAAAACUCCCCAGGUAUUCACCCUGAGAUGAGUGAUCACAGCUGAGACGGCAACUCUAUCACCUGCCUCUGGCACACUGUUCGUCCCUGGGCCUGUGGGCUGGCACAGGGACUGCAAGAACUGGAGGCAGCAUCCAUACCCACGGCAGGCACACCAGGUAUGGGAGGAUAGGCCAUGCUCCCUGGGAAGCAGGCAAGGGGAACAAGAUGAAAACACAGAAGGCUGGUCCAGAAGGAGGGACAAGGAGGUAUUGGAUCAAGGAGGUGGCAGUUUUCCCACCAGACCACCAAGGCCCUACAGGCCCACUGUACCGCCAUUCUGGAGCUGAGAUAAGGGGGUCUUUCCCUCCUUUAUAAAACUAAGGCCAGAUUGACCAAAAGGAGUGUGCAAUGUAAGGUAAGUUCUAUUUGUCUUUUUCCUGGAAAAUAAGUGUCUAUGUCUCUACCCUGUGCUCUGUCCCAUGGGCCCUGCCCUGCUCCUCCCCAUACACUCUGUUUUAUGUCCAUUCUCUCUGCUGCUCCUGGGCUUUCUUCUCUUUCUUCAUCUGCUGCCCCAAGUUCACGUGUAGAGAAGAGUCCCUUGGCCCGCCCAGCCUGCUGCUCCUAGGGUGCGCUAGAACCUGCAGAGGACAGAAGUUCCACCUGACCUCCUCAAGCUAUGCUCAAGAAACUGAGUCAGGUCCUUCCCAGUGGGCUGGUGCAUGGAAUCCUGCUGGGAGGCUGGAUCCUAGCUCCUAAGGGCUGCAGCAGCUUACUCCCACCACAACCUCCAGGUGCAAAGUCCCUUGUCAGCCCAGAAGUUAUGCACUUUGCAGCAGGUGACAGGAAAUCCAGACCAUAGCAGAGCCUCUGCCACAAACAUAAACUUGAUUGUUUGCCACCCCUGCAGAGGGAGCUGAGCAGCACAAAGCCUUGGUGCCUCCCCCCGCCCCCCACUAGGCUACCUCAGUUUGACAGACGGGACAUGUCAUUCUGGACACCAGUUGAUGAGCACAGCAGACUUGAGGGCAAUGGCAAUGCAGGACAUAAGUAGGGAGCUACAGAGAAGCUGCCUCCAGCUCCCACUACUCUGCUCUGGGCCUGCUCCCAGCCCCUCCUGGCUUUGCAAGGCCUCUGUGGUAUCUUGGCAGAGAUCACGGCCUCUGUUGACAUGCCUACUCCAACUUCAGGGUUCUACCCCUAAUGAUCCGGUCAUCCUGCCCAGGUCUCCCCUCUCCGUGCCCAACCCUUAGGGCUCUGUUCUCAUUCUUGGGGUCCUCUCAAGGCAUUCAUCAAACUAGAACCCGCUCAUGCACUUAAUGAGGCUCAGGAGAGGUUUGUAGAAGGAAUGAACGAGAGAAUUCUAGGGCUGGGGGUGAGGGCAAAGACUGGUCAUCAAGAAAAGGAUUUCUGUUCCUUAUUCUGUGCAUUUGCAUUUUUAUUGAUGAGGGGAGGAAAUUUUAGCUCCCAGUAAUUAGCCACUGGGGAGGGGUUGGAGCAACAGGAUGGAACCCUGAAUGGCCCCUGCACCCAGACCUGGGCUCUACAGUAGGAAGGACCAUGAGGGUGGGCUCUGAGUGUAGCAGACAUGGGACAGACCUUCUGGUUGCGGGGCUCUGGGCUGGGCGAGCCUUGGGUUUCACUUGGGAGUAGGGGAGCCACAUUCACAGGCUGCUGUGGCCCUCAGAGAUGGCGUUACCUAUGGAUGGCAGGGCAGACACCCAGCUUUAGCAUGUUUCAUGGGGCACUCAUGAGAGAAACCACAGGCCCUUCCUCCAACUGGAAGAGUCAUUCCCAGGUUAUGUCCCUGAGGCAGGUGCGAUUUCCACAGAGGAAGCGGGUGAGGGUCUGCUCUUGUAGGGAGAGAUCUCUGGGUCAGAGAUGUCCUUGAAAUACACUGACCUUGGUACAUACAGGGAGGAGAGAGGGCUGGUGAUGGCAGAGCCCCUGCCUUGACAGGGACAAAACCUUUCCUAUGCUGAGCUCAGGGUCCUACAGUAAGUCUGUGCUGGGGUAGGGGAAUGGAGUCUAGGGAAGUGAUGUUAGGAGAAUGGCUAUGAGGACCUGGAGCAGAGGACAGAAUGGUAGGCAGGAAGAGCCGGUGUCCUGAAUGGGGUGGGGACAGGAAAGGGACUCCCCCAGAGGUACAGUCACAGCCGUAGGCUGGUGAUGGCCUGGACUGGAAGGAUGGGUAAGAGCUGUAGGGGUAGAAAAGCAGCCCGAUCCCUGGACUCACCCAGCACCAGGUUCAAAACCAUGACCAUCAGGAGUCCUCUCGGAAGCUGCAUAUUGUCAGGGUGAGGAUGAGAAUGGUGUCCUGGUUUUUCCUUAUACCCAUGGCUGCUCCCACCCCCACCCUUCUGAGUCAUCUGGAGCCUGGUUGGGCUAGGAGAUGGGCCAGGCUUAGGUCACCCUGGGGACCAACCUGGCCCAGAGAUUGUGUCACUGUGCCCUCAAGGUCUUCUUCCCCAUCCACAUGGAGAAGAUGUCCCAGUUGUCAGAACUAGGGAUAUCAUGAGGGGCAAGGCCUAGGGUAGUUCUCUCAGUGACUGGGCGAGGGGAGGGGCACAGGCAACCAGCCCAGCCCUUACUCUGCAAGAUGCAAAUAGAGCCUCCUGUGUGUGGAAAGCCAAAGCCUCCUUCAGCACCUCACCUUAGGGGGAGUCAGGAAACCAGACCUCCAGAAAUGGUUAGAACUUUCCAUUUGUCAAAUGGGCCUUCAGUCCCAGGGAAGCCAAGGAAACUGGGUGCCUGCUGCCUCUCCAGGAAGGUGAGGGAGUGCUGUGCAGGUGGGGGACCAUUCUGGUAUGGUACUCAGGGGCCCAGAAUCCAUGAAUAUUUGCCCAGUGGGACAGGAGAGCUGCCUCUUUCUAUUCUUCAAGGUCUUGGGGAUAAGGGGGCCCACAAGAGGGGGUAAGAGCUAAAAGGAGCACUGCCAAAACUCAGCAGGGCUGGGGAUGGGUAAGAGGCCACUCAGAGAGUCAGCUUACCACUCAGGGGACCUUGUGCUCUCCCUCAAUACCAUGAUAUCUCUCUAGUGGGCGCCACAGGGAGAGGGAGACGGAGUUGGUGGGCCAAAGGGAGACAAUUUUGAGAAGAUUGCAGAUUCAGACCCCUCUUCCUAGGAGCUGGAAAAAUGGGCUUGGGAACCUGAAAGCUAGAGGACAGUCUGGAAGCAGUGUUUUGAGGUCCUAAUUUGUCACCUGACUCCUCUACUCCCAGUCUUCCCCAGGGCUGUCUGCCCCUCAGGGGAAGCUAGGAGGCGUCUAUUUCUUGCAUCAAAAUGAGUGGCUCUCAGCAAUCCUGUUUGCCCUUUGUAUCUGGCUGGAUAAGCAGGACCCAGGCAGCUGAAAGACCAGGGGAGGUGAAAGAGGCCAAGACAUAGAAGGAAUAGGGUGGAUAGCAGUCCAGGGCCCACACGGCUGAGACUGAGUGAGUGUGCACACUAGGAGAUAGCAAAGAGGAGUAGACAUGUGUAUCUGUCCAUUUAUUCAUCCAUUUCAUGAGGAAUGCUCUUGAGGGUUCUCUGAGGUGCUGGGUAUACAGUGUGGAAGGGGCUAUGGCCUAAGGGUGAAAUUUCAGGUCCAGAUCAGGGCAAGGGUUAGAGCUUAAAGUUGCAUUAGCUGCUGCAGCAAGAUGGGUAAAGAAAGCACCUGGACCCCAGAAAAUCAGAACAGCAUGGCCUCCUGUGUCCAUGUCCUAGCUGGGCACAGGCAUCUGGGCACAGGUAUCUGGGUACAGGCUUGGAGCUGUGAUCCUAGGGUACCCAGAGCUGUGGGACUCAUGAAGCAUGCUCAAGAAGGAAUAGUAUGGGAAGAAAAGAGUUUCCUCUUUCUAUUUUUCAAGUUUGUAAAUGAAACGUAAGUGCACUGCAACAAAUCAGAGACAAAAGGGAGGUUAAGAAGCUAUCUGUCUGCCUUCCCUUCGUGGGGCCCAGGGAAACUGGCCAUAGGUGUCCUUAGCAGGAGAGGGACCUGCUGCACAGGGCAUUCACAGCUGGCUGCACCUCCAGGUCAACACCUCAGUGCUAGUUUCUUCUUCCUGUCUCUGUCACAUCCUAUGGAAAGUAUGUACCACUCCAUGAUGCUACAGAGCAUCAGGAAGCCCCUCUUGAGAGGAAAGAACCCUGGGUGACCAAUCAUAUUGAGAUUCUUUCUUGCUGCACCUUGAGUAGGAAUGGUCACUGACUGGGUCAAAGCACUGGGGCCCCAGGGAAGGGCCAGCCUCAUGGUGCCUGAUAUUCCUUUGCCUUUUUCUCUGUCCCUCCACCUCAUGUCUCUUUCAUUGCAUUCAGACAGGACUGGAUGCCUGACUCUUGACUCUAAUCCUGGUCUCCUGAGGCUUCUGGUUUGGAUUUCCUCCCUAAGCUUUCCAGUUCUAGAAAAGGCUAACAUGUUAAGAUUUUUUGAAGGGGAUGCAGAGCCCCAGUGAACUGAAGCUGGUGGGAAAGAAACCCUGCAUAGUAAGUGGGGUGAGAGUGAGCAGGGAGCCAGUUGGCCUGGGGUAACUAACAACUUAUCUCUCUUUGCCUUGGUAUUUCCACUGGUAAAGGAGCAUAACUUCUGUCCCCAGCUUGCAGGCUGCCCUGGAGCACUUACAGUUAUGAGUAGUGGGAGUAAGUGGGUGUUGGUCACACCACCCUGGACAAGACCAGAUAGCCAAUACCACUGCCCCAGUUUCCCUAAACUGCAGUGGCAUCAUCUUACACUAAUUGAGCACCUGCUGUGUUGGGCUGCUGACAAGACCAAGGACAGACCAGCCAAGCAGCAUACUGUCCUAGAGAAUCCCGGGCUAAGGACAGCAUGGUUGCUGUGGCACCUAGAUGGGUGUCUCCAAUACCCUGAGACCACAGGUGAGCUGGCAUCCCACUGAGACAAAAGGAAGGUCAAACGUGGGGCCCUCUCAGCUCUGGCUGAGGACGUUGCUUGUGUAAUGGACUUGCACAAGCAAGGUGAUAACAGUUCCUCAGUCAUCUCCCAUUGACUCAGGGCCUCAUCUGGCCCCUCCCAGCAGGACCUGGGCUUGUACUGGCUACCGCGCAUUCUGUACUUGUCCUUUCUCCUCUCCUGUCCUUGUGUGAAUUCUGAUUUCCUCUGGCAAGUGAAAUGUACCCUCACUAGGGGCCUUCCAUUUCACCUUUCACCCCCAAACCAGUCCUUCAAGGGAAAAACUGUGACAGGAGAGUACCCUCAGUCCCAGGAACAGAGCUCCAGGUCUGUACAAGGUUAGGGAAGGGAGCCCAUUCUGGGCAUAGCUCCAAGCAGCUCUCAGGGUACAACAUCCAGCAGGGGUCUUAUAAGAGGGGUAUGUUUUGGGACAGGGACAAUUCCACAAGAA